rnacentral:tRNA from 1 species
GCCUGGGUGGCUCAGUCGGUUAAGUGGCUGUCUUUGGCUCAGGUCAUGACCUCGAGGUCCGUAGGUUCGAGCCCUGCCUCAGACU